UGUCCGUGAGAUAUACACCAUUCAAGAAAACAAUCAACGUCAUCCGUCAUUUUGGCUUCUUCAGUUACAGCCAUUCCAAAGCGAUCUGGGUUAAGGGAUACUUGGAAUUCAGCAUUUAACACUCCUUAAAAACAAUAUUUGCGAUGCUAAUAAGUAGCUCUAUACAAAAUUAGGGUUGCUUGUUUAGAUUCCAAGCAAUUAAUAAUAAUAUCCGUCCAAAAUGGAUUUUGGUACUGCUAACUAGUCAACGCUUUUCUAUUCAAGCCUACAUGGAUUUAUUUGAUCGAAAUUACAUUACCUGCCUCAAAAAUUCCAUUUUCUUUGUCCGAAUCAGAAGAAAUCGGUUUCCAAUGAUGGAUCACACAAUUAUCAGGAUCGUAAUCAUCAUUGCUGAUAGCCAAUCUUAUGGGACUAACUCUGGCACUAAGUUCAAAAGGCGUUGUUAAGAUCAAAAAAACCGGGUCACCUUCGUUAACAUGAUUGAAAUCAAAAUAAGACGGAAAAUACAUUCCAGUAACAGAGUAAAUGUCACAAUAAAGCCCAUCUUUCACUGAGCAAUUGGUCAUGACUGUCAAAUUAUCUACUGACGUCCUGAGAACACAAACAUUAUAUUUACUGAUACAUCGAUUAUGAUGAUGAUGACCAUCAUCAUCAUUACAGGUGAAUCUUACUUAAAUACGGCGGCUGCUAAAGAAUCACGUCUGAUCGAAUGACUGCUCCGUAACUGAGUCCUAAAGACAUGAUCAAGUAUGUUUAAAUUUGCCGAGUGCAAAUUGAAGAUUGAUGAUAGUGACAGCUGAAAUAUUACCGUUUACCCAACCAUCGUGGUAUCGCUGGACUGUUUGAUGAUCAAUGAGGACCA